rnacentral:lncRNA from 1 species
AUGCCUUAUAAUUCUGAAAGUAGAGUCUGUAAUCUAACUAAAUGUUCUCUGAGAAAUGUAAAUAAAAUAACCAAUCUUUCUCUCUCUCUCUCUCUCCCUCUCCCUCCUCUCCCUCCUCUCCCCUCCUCUCCCUCCUCUCCUCUCCCUCUCUCCCUCUCUCCCUCCUCUCCCCUCUCUCCCUCCUCUCCCUCCUCUCCCUCCUCCUCCUCCUCUCCCUCCUCUCCCUCCUCUCCCCUCUCUCCCUCUCUCCCUCCUCUCCCUCUCUCCCCUCUCUCCCUCCUCUCCCCUCUCUCCCUCCUCUCCCCUCUCUCCCUCCUCUCCCUCUCUCCCUCCUCUCCCCUCUCUCCCUCCUCUCUCCCUCCUCUCCCUCCUCUCCCCUCUCUCCCUCCUCUCCCCUCUCUCCCUCCUCUCCCCUCUCUCCCUCAUCUCCCUCCUCUCCCCUCUCUCCCUCCUCUCCCCUCUCUCCCUCCUCCCUCCUCUCCCUCCUCUCCCCUCUCCCUCCUCUCCCUCCUCUCCCCUCUCUCCCUCCUCUCCCUCCUCCUCCUCUCCCCUCCUCUCCCCUCUCUCCCUCCUCCUCCUCUCCCCUCCUCUCCCCUCUCUCCCUCCUCUCCCUCCUCUCCCCUCUCUCCCUCCUCUCCCUCCUCUCCCUCCUCCUCCUCCUCUCCCUCCUCUCCCUCCUCUCUCGUCCCCUCCUCCUCCUCUCCCUCCUCUCCCCUCUCCCUCCUCUCCCCUCCUCUCCCUCCUCUCCCUCCUCUCCCCUCUCUCCCUCCUCUCCCUCCCUCCUCCUCCUCCUCCUCCUCUCCCCUCUCUCCCUCCUCUCCCCUCUCUCCCCUCUCUCCCUCCUCCUCCUCUCCCUCCUCUCCCCUCUCUCCCUCCUCUCCCCUCUCUCCCUCCUCUCCCCUCUCUCCCUCCUCUCCCCCUCUCUCCCUCCUCUCCCUCCUCUCCCUCUCUCCCUCCUCUCCCCUCUCUCCCUCCUCUCCCCCCUCUCCCCUCUCUCCCCUCCUCUCCCUCCUCUCCCUCCUCUCCCCUCUCUCCCUCUCUCCCUCCUCUCUCCCUCCUCUCCCUCCUCUCCCCUCUCUCCCUCCUCUCCCCUCUCUCCCUCCUCUCCCCUCUCUCCCUCCUCUCCCCUCUCUCCCUCCUCUCCCCUCCUCUCCCCUCUCUCCCUCCUCUCUCCCUCCUCUCCCUCUCUCCCUCCUCUCCCUCCUCUCCCCCUCUCCCCUCUCCCUCUCCCCUCUCCCCUCUCUCCCUCCUCUCCCCUCUCCCUCCUCUCCCUCCUCCUCCUCCUCUCCCUCCUCUCCCUCCUCUCUCCCCCCUCCUCCUCCUCUCCCUCCUCUCCCUCCUCUCCCUCCUCCUCCUCUCCCCUCCCCUCCUCUCCCUCCCCUCCUCUCCCCUCUCCCUCCUCUCCCCUCUCCCUCCUCUCCCCUCUCCCCUCCUCCUCCUCUCCCCUCCUCUCUCCCCUCUCUCCCCUCCUCUCCCUCCUCUCUAGGGUCAGACCUGGGUUCCAUCAGAUGA